GUGCUCACUUCGGCAGUAUGUGUACUAAAAUUGAAACAAUACAGAGAAGAUUAGCAUGGUCCCUGUGCAAAGAUAACAUGCAAAUUCAUGAAACAUUCGUAUUUUUA